rnacentral:lncRNA from 1 species
UUCUAUGCACACCACCCAAGGUGCCAUCUGAUGUCGCCACCCUUUAGAAAUUAGCGUGGAAUAAUGAAGAGAUAGGAAGGUAAUAAAGAGUUUCAAAUAAGAUGGACUCUUCCAAUCUCAUCGCACAAAAUAUAUGGCAUCCCAUUUAUUUUUUGAUGUGUGAGUUCCUUCACAAAGAAGGACUCUUCCUUCUCUUCUGUGCCCACAUAUCCCAAGGUGCCAUCUGAUGGCACAAAAAACAAAAGAUAGCAUGGAAAAAAGGAAGGAAAUUUAAGAGGAGUAAAUCAGAAGGACUCCUUCUUAAUGCUAAAAUAAAUGGGGUGUGGUCCUUUUAUUUCUUGCAUGUGGUGGCAUGGAGGAAUUCAAAGAUGAAAUAUUUUCAAAAUAAAUUAGUUAAGCCAUCUCAUGUCUUAAGAAUUGAACCUAAUCUCAUUGGGUCAAGGCAACAAGUCAAGACUUAGCACAAACAUCUUUGCACUAAAUCUAAUUGGAAACUUGAGUU